rnacentral:rRNA from 1 species
UGGGGAAUAUUGCACAAUGGGCGCAAGCCUGAUGCAGCGACGCCGCGUGAGGGAUGGAGGCCUUCGGGUUGUAAACCUCUUUCGCCAGUGAAGCAGGCCAUCUUCUUUGUGGGGUGGUUGACGGUAGCUGGAUAAGAAGCGCCGGCUAACUACGUGCCAGCAGCCGCGGUAAUACGUAGGGCGCGAGCGUUGUCCGGAAUUAUUGGGCGUAAAGAGCUCGUAGGCGGCUGGUCGCGUCUGUCGUGAAAUCCCCUGGCUUAACUGGGGGCUUGCGGUGGGUACGGGCCGGCUUGAGUGCUGUAGGGGAGACUGGAAUUCCUGGUGUAGCGGUGGAAUGCGCAGAUAUCAGGAGGAACACCGGUGGCGAAGGCGGGUCUCUGGGCCGUUACUGACGCUGAGGAGCGAAAGCGUGGGGAGCGAACAGG